AGGAUCAGAGCCCACCAGACAGCUGCUAAAGCACACUAGAGCUAAAUAGGGAUUCUUCUCCCUAUUUUACAGAGAAAUUGAGGCUCAGUGAAGAGACAUACUAUUUGCCCAAUGUCACACUGCUGAUUAGUAAAAGAAAUUCAGGGCUUGAAGUCUCUUUCACUUUCCUUUACAUAAUUCUGCUUCCUUCCAAGGAAGGAGCUGAGAGGGGCUUCCCACAUCCUGGGAAUCAUCCCUUACUUCAGGCAUGUCUUGGGGCCAGAGCUGGGAAUCUUGAGCCUAGAAAAAAGAGAGUUAAGGGACCAGACCAAAUCAGAGCCAGAGGCUGUGGUUUGAAGGGGUUCCACUCUGUUGGCAGGAUCCGGAUCACCUGUUUGAAACCAUCUCCCAAGCCAUGCUGAAUGCUGUGGACCGGGAUGCAGUGUCAGGCAUGGGAGUCAUUGUCCACAUCAUCGAGAAGGACAAAAUCACCACUAGGACACUGAAGGCCCGAAUGGACUAACCCUGUUCCCAGAGCCCACUUUUUUUUCUUUUUUUGAAAUAAAAUAGCCUGUCUUUCA
rnacentral:sRNA from 1 species